rnacentral:sRNA from 1 species
UAGUAUUUGUUGGAUAUUCCGCCAUUUUUAUACAGGCAGCCCCUGCUUCUAUGCACAGUACAUCGUACUAUGUAGCAGGCGGAUCCUGUCCACGGUCCCCAGAAAGUUGGUGAUGCGAUGCUGAUGAUAUUGAUUUGGAUUUGAGGCUUUGGGAGAUUUUUUUCUUCCUGACAACCCAUUCCAAAACGUAUCGGCUUGUUUUGGCACCUGUCAUUACUGUCACUAUUCCUUACUGUUCUUCUCCUUCUUCUUCUGAACCUUUGCUUGUCUCUUAGGGACCUUCCUUGAAUUGAAUUCAGAUCUUUUGAUGCCUG